UCACAUUGGGAUGAGAAGAGAAACCGAGGAGAUGAAGGGAAACCAGAGAGAAAUUGGAGAAGGGGAGGAUUGCUCCAGGGGAACAAGAAGUCGGAGGUUCUUCUCCCUUCCACCUCGGACACUCUUCUCCUCCGUUCCUCUCGACUGAGACAAUCUGAGGGCUGUGCCCAGAGCCUUAUCAUCAGCAGAAACUGAAGCAUCUAUGAAAUAACGGAAUCAAGCACCCUUCUCUGAUAUGAUCUCUUUUCCUUAUGGUUCGUUGCUAGGUUGGCUCACUGCAGCUGUUGGACAAACUGGCUGGGGGAA
rnacentral:lncRNA from 1 species